rnacentral:rRNA from 1 species
UACAGAGGUCUCAAGCGUUGUUCGGAUUCAUUGGGUUUAGAGGGUGCGUAGGAGGGCAGGUAAGUCAGUGGUGAAAUCCUGGGGCUCAACCCCAGAACUGCCGUUGAUACUAUCUGUCUUGAAUAUGGUGGAGGUGAGCGGAAUAUGUCAUGUAGCGGUGAAAUGCUUAGAUAUGACAUAGAACACCAAUUGCGAAGGCAGCUCGCUACACCUAUAUUGACUCUGAGGCACGAAAGCGUGGGGAUCAAACAGG